UCAUUUUCAUUCCUUAAUGCCAAAGAAAACCCCAUCUCUCUCUCCUUCUUAUCACCUGAAAUACAUCAUGAUAUUCAUCAGAAAGUUUCACUAAAUCAACCAUCCAAACUAGCUCUUGGUGAAGCUCAAGUUGCUCCUCUCUUUUGUGGUAAUGUACGGGAUGAGAUUUGAAUACGGCCUUAUGAAGUAGUCUUUUUGGGAGCACUUAUGGAGAUCACAUUUAUAUAUGCACCUAGAUUUUGUAUAGUUUUGGGACUUGUACAUGAACUAUAUGUCACACCCAUGUACGUUAUUUUGGAGGCUUGUUUGAUCUUAAAUCUUGUAACUUGAAUUUGAUAACUUGUUUUGCUGUUUUAGGAUGUGUUAAUAACUCAAGUCUUGUAAUAUGCUGAAUUUACACUGUCUUGUAAAAUGUACAAAGGAGAAGACUAGUUUUAUUUA